GAUGAACGCUAGCGGCAGGCUUAACACAUGCAAGUCGAGGGGCAGCACGGGUAGCAAUAUCUGGUGGCGACCGGCGCAAGGGUGCGUAACGCGUGCGCAACAUGCCCGCAUCAGGGGAAUAAUCCCGGGAAACUUGGUCUAAUACCCCAUAGUAAAUAUUAAAGGCAUCUUUAAUAUUUUAAAGCUUUGGUGGAUACGGUUUGGCUGGCGUUACAUUAGUUGGAUGGUAAGGUAACGGGUUACCAUGGCUACGAUGGCUAGGGGUUCGGAGAGGAAGAUCCCCCACACUGGAACUGAGACACGGUCCAGACUCCUACGGGAGGCAGCAGUGAGGAAUAUUGGACAAUGGAUGGAAAUCUGAUCCAGCCAUGCCGCGUGCAGGAUGACGGCCCUAUGGGUUGUAAACUGCUUUUAUAUGGGAGCAAUAAGGCCUACGUGUAGGUUGAUGAGAGUACCAUAUGAAUAAGCACCGGCUAACUCCGUGCCAGCAGCCGCCGUAAAAC
rnacentral:rRNA from 1 species